AAAAAGUCCAAGAAAGAAAUGAGUUUAUCUUCUUUGGAGCUUCCGUUUGUGGAAUUGAUGUAAACGCUGAUGGUUUUUCUGAUCUAUUAGUUGGAGCCCCAUUCUUCAGCGACAGAGGUGAUGAAGGUCGUGU